AAAUCUGGCCCCUCGGGGUCCGAGUUGUAAUUUGUAGAGGAUGCUUUUGGUGAGGUGCCGCCCGAGUUCCCUGGAACGGGACGCCACAGAGGGUGAGAGCCCCGUCUGGCUGGCCACCGAGCCUCUGUAAAGCUCCUUCGACGAGUCGAGUAGUUUGGGAAUGCUGCUCAAAAUGGGAGGUAUAUGUCUUCUAAAGCUAAAUAUUGGCCAGAGACCGAUAGCGCACAAGUAGAGUGAUCGAAAGAUGAAAAGCACCUUGAAAAGAGGGUUAAAUAGUACGUGAAAUUGUUGAAAGGGAAGCGCUUGUGACCAGACUUGGGCGCGGCGGAUCAUCCGGGGUUCUCUCCGGUGCACUUCGACGCGUCCAGGCCAGCAUCAGUUCGUCGCGGGGGAAAAAGGCUUCGGGAACGUGGCUCCUCCGGGAGUGUUAUAGCCCGUUGCAUAAUACCCUGCGGUGGACUGAGGACCGCGCAUCUGCAAGGAUGCUGGCGUAAUGGUCACCAGCGACCCGUCUUGAAACACGGACCAAGGA
rnacentral:rRNA from 1 species